GCGCAGCAGUCGAGAAUUUUCUCAAUGGGGCAACCCUGAAGGAGCGACGCCGCGUGGAGGAUGAAGGCUUUCGGGUUGUAACUCCUGUCAUUUGAGAACAAGUGUAGCCAAGUAACUACUGGCUACUUGAUAGUAUCAGAAGAGGAAGGGACGGCUAACUCUGUGCCAGCAGCCGCGGUAAUACAGACGGUCCCAAGCGUUGUUCGGAUUCAUUGGG
rnacentral:rRNA from 1 species